rnacentral:rRNA from 1 species
CCCCUACGGGGGGCAGCAGUGAGGAAUAUUGGUCAAUGGCCGGAAGGCUGAACCAGCCAAGUCGCGUGAGGGACGACUGCCCUAUGGGUUGUAAACCUCUUUUAUAAGGGAAGAAUAAAUGCUACGUGUAGCAUGAUGCCUGUACCUUAUGAAAAAGCAUCGGCUAACUCCGUGCCAGCAGCCGCGGUAAUACGGAGGAUGCGAGCGUUAUCCGGAUUUAUUGGGUUUAAAGGGUGCGCAGGCGGCGUGUCAAGCAAGCGGUAAAAUAGCGGGGCUCAACCCCGUCGAGCCGUUUGAACUGGCGG